rnacentral:lncRNA from 1 species
CUUCAGCUUUGGUCCCUCGGGGCGUCUGGGCAGCCUACGCUUUCCGGAUAAAAAUGGCAGAAUGAAAGAAUUAUGAGUGGAACUAGAGAAUAGGAAAGACAUGAACCAACGCCCAAAAUGAGAAAGAAGGACAUAUAAAGAAAAAGACAAAUACAAGUGAAAAAAAUAGACUAAUGGAUUAACGUCCCUGUCGUGUGACAUUUUCUGACUGGAAUCAGCCAUUUUACCAAGAAAGUUGGGUUUCUUUUACUGGCAAAUAGUACUUCAAGAGCACAGUCUUAUGUAAGGAGUUUUAUAUAUAUUCCAGAUACAAGUCUUCUGUCAGGUAAAGGUAUCACAAAAAUGUAGCACACAUUUUGUCUUCUAAGCUGUGGUUUCCUUUUCAUUUUCUUAAUGAUAUCUUUUGAAGAGAAGGCAGUUUUAAUUUUGA